rnacentral:rRNA from 1 species
CGGCGUCGAGCGGCGGACGGGUGAGUAAUGCCUAGGAAAUUGCCUUGAUGUGGGGGAUAACCAUUGGAAACGAUGGCUAAUACCGCAUAAUGCCUACGGGCCAAAGAGGGGGACCUUCGGGCCUCUCGCGUCAAGAUAUGCCUAGGUGGGAUUAGCUAGUUGGUGAGGUAAUGGCUCACCAAGGCGACGAUCCCUAGCUGGUCUGAGAGGAUGAUCAGCCACACUGGAACUGAGACACGGUCCAGACUCCUACGGGAGGCAGCAGUGGGGAAUAUUGCACAAUGGGCGAAAGCCUGAUGCAGCCAUGCCGCGUGUAUGAAGAAGGCCUUCGGGUUGUAAAGUACUUUCAGUUGUGAGGAAGGGGGUGUCGUUAAUAGCGGCAUCUCUUGACGUUAGCAACAGAAGAAGCACCGGCUAACUCCGUGCCAGCAGCCGCGGUAAUACGGAGGGUGCGAGCGUUAAUCGGAAUUACUGGGCGUAAAGCGCAUGCAGGUGGUUCAU